rnacentral:lncRNA from 1 species
CACAACUUCAUCAAAAAAGAGUGUGGCAAGCUGGGAAUGUAGAAGUGAUCGAAAUUCAAAAGAAAUCUGUAGGAAAAUAUUGAAAAUUAUUUUAGAAAAAAUUAUUUUUUGCUUUUUUUUUUUUUUUGGUUUUCCUGGAGAGGGACUCUCGCUUUGUUGCCCAGGUUGGAGUGCAGUGGCACAAUUGCGGCUCACUGCAGCCUCAACCUCCUGGACUCAAGCAAUCCUCCCACCUCUGUCUCCCAAGUAGCUGGUACUACAGGCAUAUGCCACCACAUGUGGCUAAUUUGUGUGUGUGUGUGUGUAUAUAUAUACGUAUAUAUAUACGUAUAUACAUAUAUAUACGUGUAUAUAUACAUAUAUAUAUAUGUAUAUAUGUGUAUAUAUAUAUAUAUAUAUAUAUAUAUUUUUUUUUUUUUUGUGGGGGGGGGCGUAGAGAAGGGGUUUUGCCAUGUUGCCCAGGCUGAUCUCAAACUCCUGGGCUAAUGCAAUUCUGCCCACUUCAGCCUCCCAAAGUGUUGGGAUUAUGGGCAUGAGCCACUGUGCCCAGCCAGAAAGAUUUUUUUUAAACUAAAUCUCCACUUAGGACAGUGGUGUUCACACUAUGAACUGGGUAUCUAAGGUAGAAUUGUGUGGAUGUAUGUAGGUGGGAUUUUUAGCACCCCCACAAAAGAGGGAAUCUUCUUUUACUGCAACAAGCACAAUUGCUGGCACAAUAAGCUUACAUAAAGAAGGCCAAUGAAAUCUCAUUUCAAGGGAAAAAGUCUGUUUCUUAAUAAGAGAAGACUGGAAAAAACCUUUGCUGAAUACAUUAAUCACUAUGCCUUCUUAUUAAUGUGUCCCUUUUAGAUCCAUCCUAUCCCACAAAAGGAAAUAAGGAAGGAAAGUGAUCCUUCUCAUAGGUAUCACUGAGAAGCACCAGCAGGAAGAGGAGGCUGGAAGUGUGCAUGCACAUGUGUGCCUAACCCACAGGGCAGAUGGUCUGCACCAGAAAGAGCACAUCUGAGAGCUGCACCCCCUUCAAUGCCUAACAAAGAGCUGACUAAGGUAUUUGGCUCUGGCCACUUACCAAGAAAUUAUAUCAUCAUUAAAUCCUGUGGGCAAAAAAUAACUCAGUUUUAAAAAUCUUUGGCCACUCCAAAAUGGGAAUGCAAAAGAAAUAUGCAUUAUCCCAUGGAAUUCUGCCUUUUUGUUUUUAAGGUCGGUACCCUUUUCUACAUGUGUAUCCUCCUCUGACAAGCAUAAGAUGAUUAAUAUAAUGUAAGAGCAGUUGGCAUUUCAGUACCUGGUACUUGGCAGGAUAAUCUCAACAAUGUUUAUACAUAUAUAUGUAUAUAUAUAUAUGUGUGUGUGUGUGUAUAUAUAUAUAUACGUAUAUAUAUAUGUGUGUGUAUGUAUGUGUGUGUGUGUGUGUGUGUGUGUGUGUGUAUAUAUAUAUAUAUAUAUAUAUAUAUAUAUAUUUUUUUUUUUUUUUUUUUUUUUUUUUUUUUGAGACAGAGUUUCAUUCUUGUUGCCCAGGCUGGAGUGCACUGGCGCGAUCUCAGCUCACUGCAACCUCUGCCUCCUGGGUUCAAGUGAGUCUCCUGCCUCAGCCUCUUGAGUAGCUGAAAUUACAGGUACUUGCCACCAUAUUGGCUAAUUUUUUCGUAUUUUUAGUAGAGACGGUGUUUCACCAUGUUGGCCAGGCUAAUCUCAAGCUCCUGACCUCGGGUGACCCACCCACCUUAGUCUCCCAAAGUGCUGGGAUUACAGGCGUGAGCCACUUUGCCCCCCAAUAUUUUUAUAUUUUUUCUUUUCAUUUUUAUUUAAUUUUUUUUGAGACACUGUCUCACUCUGUUGCCCAGGCUGAAGUGUAGUGGCUUAAUCACAGCUCUCUCUAGCCUCAACUUCUUGGGUUCCCAUCUCAGCUGCCUGACAUGACAUAUUUAUAUCUUUUUUUUUUUUUUUUAAUUUUGAGACAGAGUCUCACUGUGUUGCCCAGGCUGCAGUGCAGCGGCACUAUCUCGGCACACUGCAACCUCUGCCUCCGGGUUCACGUGAUUCUCCUGCCUCAGCCACCUGAGUAGCUGGGAUUACAGGCAAGCACCACUACGCCCGGCUAAUUUUUGUAUUUUUAGUAGAGACGGGGUUUCACCAUGUUGGUCAGGCUGGUCUUGAACUCCUGACCUCGUAAUCCGCUCGCCUUGGCCUCCCAAAGUGCUGGGAUUAAAGGCGUGAGCCACAGCGCUAUGCCUAUAUCUUUUCUACCUUUCUUUAUCCUCUCACCACUUUAAUUUUUUUCCUUCCUUCUUCCCCACCAUUCCUUCUUUAACUUAAAAAACUAUAUAUUUAGUAAACAAAUUUACUCUUCCCCCAAUAAUAAAAGUAUUUAAUUCAUAUUUUAAAACAGUUGAAAAAUUAAAUUAAAACAUUUCCCACUUGGGUGGCGCAAGUGAUCUGUCCUGUGGGUCAGUAGUCCUCAAUAGAAGGGAAAAAAAAGGGAAAAGUUUCCCAUUCCCAUAUUAUAUUCAAAUUUCUAUUUGGAAAGAAUAAUGCUAACAUUGUAUAAAGUAACACAGUUAGGAGAUAUAAUAAAUUUUUUACCCUCCUCCUGUUAGGUUAAAUAAGUUUUUUUAGGCUAUUACAUUUUAACUCAUUUGACAAAGUUAAUAUAUGGAAGAAUAUUUAAAAACAACAAAAAACAAAACUGUUACCUUUACUAAAUGAGGUUUCACCAAGGUUACUACUGAUGUAUAUCGCUCCAACACAGGUGGAAAUCCAAUUUCUAAUCUUGUUUUACAAUAUCCAGAUCUCUUUGAUAUAACAUCUGAUUUUUUGCACCAAGGAACAAAAUGCUUGUAAUCCUCCACUCCCGAUACUACAUCAUACAUUUCCUGCAUUGAAUAUCUUUAAAAAAUAAAAAUAAAAAAGAGGUGUUAACUCCAUCUAGUUAUAUAAUAUAUGCAUACUUUAAAGUGAAUAUGUAUAAAACUUACUGUGUAUGAUAAAUAAAUCAUUCAGCACAUAUAUUAAACCACAUUCUGGAAUCAAUGACCUCAAAGCAACACAGAAAAUAAAAGGUCUCUAAAUAAACACAUACAUGAUAUGGCAGAGAUCACAAUUUGGCAUCUCACAGGUUGAAUCUGACAUAAAGAGGUAAUUUUUUUUUUUUUUUUUGAGAUGGAGUCUCAUUCUGUUACCCAGGCU